ACAGCUGUGUCAGACUUUGCUACCACAUCGGAUUUGUGGUCAAGUUGCACAUCUGAUC
ensembl:miRNA